GAUUUCUGGUUUGACGUACCUGUCCCGCUGCGGUAACGUAUGUGUGUGACGGAGUAGGUCUGCCAUCCUUCUAGAGAAGGCUCGCUAUCCUUUACUGGACCGGUGAGUUGAAUCUAGAUCUUUUACUUUGAAAAAAUUAGAGUGUUUCAAGCAGGCGUUUUGCUAUGAAUACAUUAGCAUGGAAUAAUGAGUUAGGACUUCGGUUCUAUUUUGUUGGUUUCUAGGACUGAAGUAAUGAUUGAUAGGGAUAGUUGGGGGUGCUAGUAUUCAGCGGCCAGAGGUGAAAUUCUUGGAUUCGCUGAAGACUAACUUAUGCGAAAGCAUU
rnacentral:rRNA from 1 species